ACCUGAGUCCAGCUUGAAGCGGAUCACACACGGAAUCCCCUGAGCCAGCUUUUGCUGCACCUGCUCCGGCGGCACCUCUCGACAGCGGUUAUCAUAACUGCAGAGACGGAGGAGACAGGUGUGAAAGAGGAGAAACGGAGGAGACAGGUGUGAAAGAGGAGAGACGGAGGAGACAGGUGUGAAAGAGGAGAGACGGAGGAGACAGGUGUGAAAGAGGAGAGACGGAGGAGACAGGUGUGAAAGAGGAGAGACGGAGGAGACAGGUGUGAAAGAGGAGGGACAGGUGUGAAAGAGGAGAGAUGGAAGAGAGGUGUGAAAGAGGAGAGAUGGAGGAGACAGGUGUGAAAGAGGAGAGAUGGAGGAGACGGGUGUGUGAUGGAGGAUAGAUGGAGGAGACGGGUGUGUGAUGGAGGAGAGAUGGAGGAGACGGGUGUGUGAUGGAGGAGAGACGGAGGAGACAGGUGUGUGAUGGAGGAGAGACGGAUGGAAGAGACAGAGGAGACAGGUGUGAAAGAGGAGAGACAGAGGAGACAGGUGUGAAAGAGGAGAGACGGAGGAGACAGGUGUGUGAUGGAGGAGAGACGGAUGGAAGAGACAGAGGAGACAGGUGUAAAAGAGGAGAGACAGAGGAGACAGGUGUGAAAGAGAAGAGAUGGAGGAGACGAGUGUGUGAUGGAGGAGAGACGGAUGGAAGAGACAGAGGAGAAAGGGGUGUGAAAGAGGAGAGACAGAGGAGACAGGUGUGAAAGAGGAGAGACAGAGGAGACAGGUGUGAAAGAGGAGAGAUGGAGGAGACGGGUGUGUGAUGGAGGAGAGAUGGAGGAGACGGGUGUGUGAUGGAGGAGAGACGGAUGGAAGAGACAGAGGAGACAGGUGUAAAAGAGGAGAGACAGAGGAGACAGGUGUGAAAGAGAAGAGAUGGAGGAGACGGGUGUGUGAUGGAGGAGAGACGGAUGGAAGAGACAGAGGAGAAAGGGGUGUGAAAGAGGAGAGACAGAGGAGACAGGUGUGAAAGACGAGAGAUGGAGGAAACGGGUGUGUGAUGGAGGAGACAGGUGUGAAAGAGGAGAGGUGGAUGGAUGAGACAGAGGAGACAGGUGUGAAAGAGGAGAGACAGAGGAGACAGGUGUGAAAGAGAAGAGAUGGAGGAGAAGGGUGUGUGAUGGAGGAGAGACGGAUGGAAGAGACAGAGGAGACAGGUGUGAAAGAGGAGAGACAGAGGAGACAGGUGUGAAAGAGGAGAGACGGAGGAGACAGGUGUGUGAUGGAGGAGAGAUGGAUGGAAGAGACAGAGGAGACAGGUGUGAAAGAGGAGAGACAGAGGAGACAGGUGUGAAAGAGGAGAGACGGAGGAGACAGGUGUGAAAGAGGAGAGACCGAGGAGACAGGUGUGUGAUGGAGGAGAGACAGAUGGAAGAGACAGAGGAGACAGGUGUGAAAGAGGAG